AACGAACGCUGGCGGCAUGCCUAACACAUGCAAGUCGAACGAGACCUUCGGGUCUAGUGGCGAACGGGUGCGUAACGCGUGGGAACCUGCCCUUAGGUUCGGAAUAACUCCCCGAAAGGGGUGCUAAUACCGGAUAAUUUCUUCGGACCAAAGAUUUAUCGCCUUUGGAUGGGCCCGCGUUGGAUUAGCUAGUUGGUAGGGUAAAAGCCUACCAAGGCGACGAUCCAUAGCUGGUCUGAGAGGAUGAUCAGCCACACUGGGACUGAGACAAGGCCCAGACUCCUACGGGAGGCAGCAGUGGGGAAUAUUGGACAAUGGGCGAAAGCCUGAUCCAGCAAUGCCGCGUGAGUGAUGAAGGCCUUAGGGUUGUAAAGCUCUUUUACCCGGGAUGAUAAUGACAGUACCGGGAGAAUAAGCUCCGGCUAACUCCGUG
rnacentral:rRNA from 1 species